AAUCGCAUUGCAGCUGAAACUGAACUUUUAGAAAUGUCGGGAGGUUCGGCAACGUCUUCAACUGAUUCCGAGGUUUUAGGAGAAAUGAAAGAAAAAAAUAAAGUAAGAAACACAAAAAAGGUCACUAGUCAACAAAAUUUUGAAACUCUGUUUGCAUCAUCAUCGUCAAAAUUUUGUUCGUUUCAACCAAUCAUACCGGAAGAAACUCCUGAGCCUGUUGUUGAAAGCGAAAAUAUAAUUUUGGAAACCAAUUUUUCGGAUGAGGCAAUUAUUUCUCCUGAAGCAAUUGCAAAUGCGCAGUUUUUAAAUGUCAUCGAACAGCCUUUGAUUGGAGAACAAAGUAAAAACGACAUUAUUAACAAGUUGAAUGACAUUGAGCAAAAAUUUAAUCAGUUUAAAAAUGAUAUAACAGAGAGCGUAAAAGAUAUGUUGGUGAAGGCAGUUGCGGCAAUUAAAUCAGAUUUUGAUGCCAAAUUAUUGUCAGCAAUGCAGAAUUUUAAAAACAAUCAUCAGGAUGAUGACAAUAUUCAAUUUGAAUUUCAUGCCGUUUAAACCUCACAGGAGUUAAGUCAAUUAGAGGAAAAUCUCAAAGAUCCAAAUUAUGAAAAGAAAGUAAGAAAUUAUUUUAAAAAAAUUAUUGGUAAUAUUCCUGAUACUAGUAAUGGUUUGGAUACCUGCUAUAGCAUUGUAGAUUAUUUUUUUGAGAAAAAAUUUAUGGUGCAGUGUUCGUGGACGGGAGGAAGUAGAAGCAACACUGAAAAAUGUUGUAUUAAAAAUUGCAAAAAUAUUUUAGAAGUGUUUUUUACAAUAGUCCAAAGUUCCAAUAAAAAUUUUUCGAAGGCAUUGUUGAAAAAAUUUAUAAUUGGAAUUACGAGAAAUGCAAAGAAGCGUAGUUUAACUGGAGGCAUCCGCCAAUCUUCAAUACAUA
rnacentral:misc_RNA from 1 species